ensembl:lncRNA
CAUUUGCUAUUUGGUUUGGUUUCACACUACACACAAUCACAGCAGUCAAGAUGCAAUUCAAUAAAAUAAAAUAAUAAUGGCCAAGGGGUGUGCAGGACUGAAAACAUCCAGCAUUCAUUGGUCAGAAAUAUGAGCAUAGAAAAACAGAAACAAAUAUCACCAAAGCACUGAGAACACGGAGUCGGAACUGACGAAAUAAUAAUAGACAGACAGACAGACAGACAGACAGAUAGACAGACAGACAGACAGACAGAUAGAUAGAUAGAUAGAUAGAUAGAUAGAUGGAUAGAUAGACAGACAGACAGAAAGACAGACACAUAGAUAGACAGACAGAUAGAUGGAUAGAUAGAUAGAUAGAUAGAUAGAGACAGACAGACAGAUAGAUAAAAAGACAGACACAUAGAUAGAUAGAUAGAUAGAUAGAUAGAUAGAUAGAUAGAUAGAUAGAUAGAUAGAUAGACAAAAAGACAGACACAUAGAUAGAUAGAUAGAUAGAUAGAUAGAUAGAUAGACAAAAAGACAGACACAA